UACGUAGGGCGCAAGCGUUGUCCGGAAUUAUUGGGCGUAAAGAGCUCGUAGGCGGUUUGUCGCGUCUGCUGUGAAAUCCCGAGGCUCAACCUCGGGCUUGCAGUGGGUACGGGCAGACUAGAGUGCGGUAGGGGAGACUGGAAUUCCUGGUGUAGCGGUGAAAUGCGUAGAUAUCAGGAGGAACACCGGUGGCGAAGGCGGGUCUCUGGGCCGAUACUGACGC
rnacentral:rRNA from 1 species